rnacentral:rRNA from 1 species
UACAGAGGUCCCGAGCGUUGUUCGGAUUUAUUGGGCGUAAAGAGCGUGUAGGCGGCCAGGUAGGUCUGCUGUGAAAACUCGAGGCUUAACCUCGAGCUGUCGGCGGAAACCAUCUGGCUAGAGUCCGGAAGAGGAGAAUGGAAUUCCCGGUGUAGCGGUGAAAUGCGCAGAUAUCGGGAAGAACACCCGUGGCGAAGGCGGUUCUCUGGGACGGUACUGACGCUGAGACGCGAAAGCGUGGGGAGCGAACAGG